rnacentral:rRNA from 1 species
AAACUGGGAUUAGAUACCCCACUAUGCCUAGCCAUAAACUUUAAUGCUAAUGUACAACUAGCAUCCGCCAGGGAACUACGAGCACCAGCUUAAAACCCAAAGGACUUGGCGGUGCCUCAGACCCCCCUAGAGGAGCCUGUUCUA